rnacentral:rRNA from 1 species
CCUCGGGUGGCAGCAGUGGGGAAUAUUGGACAAUGGGCGAAAGCCUGAUCCAGCCAUGCCGCGUGUGUGAAGAAGGCCUUCGGGUUGUAAAGCACUUUCAGUGGGGAAGAAAGCCUUGGGGCUAAUACCCUCGAGGAAGGACAUCACCCACAGAAGAAGCACCGGCUAACUCCGUGCCAGCAGCCGCGGUAAUACGGAGGGUGCGAGCGUUAAUCGGAAUUACUGGGCGUAAAGCGCGCGUAGGCGGUCUGAUAAGCCGGUUGUGAAAGCCCCGGGCUCAACCUGGGAACGGCAUCCGGAACUGUCAGGCUAGAGUGCAGGAGAGGAAGGUAGAAUUCCCGGUGUAGCGGUGAAAUGCGUAGAGAUCGGGAGGAAUACCAGUGGCGAAGGCGGCCUUCUGGACUGACACUGACGCUGAGGUGCGAAAGCGUGGGUAGCAAACAGGAUUACAUACCCUUGUAGUC